UAUCUGCAAUAUAUUAAUCGUUUACGUGAUAUUUAGUUUGGUUUUGUGCAAUCAACACUUAGUGCUCUUGUGUCGAAAGUCCUUGGUCAUGUUUCACUGGACAUGGAUUGUUUAUUUACACCAUGUUGUGCGAAAACAAGCACAGAAUCUGAACAAUUCAUCUUAUGUUGACUCUGUGGUCAUUUUUGCAUUAAACAGUGUGCUGGUAUUAUCGACAACGCUGCUGAUGCAGUCCUGGAUCCAUCAAAAGACUUACGAUGGUCAUGUCCUGACUGUAGCAAAUCGGACAUAGAUAUCUACAAACUCCUCACGGAGAAGAGAAAUGGUUUCUCAGAUUUGAGCAAAAAUUUCGAUUCCUUGUGGGAGAAGUUUGAUAUAAUUAAGACUAGGUUUGAUAAGUCUUGUCAUAUUGAGUAAGCCUGAUUCGUUGGUACAAGUUAGUGCCUCUUCAAUCUCUACAAAGAACGUUAGCGUUUCUUCUGUCAUUGAGUCGGGCGGUAACAAAAACGUUACAAGUAAGCCAGGAAGUCCUUGUGGUCUCAGCUAUGCUGAAGUGGCAAGGGUAUCUCGUCCCAUUUGCGUCACUCACUCUACUCAGGCGUCAUCGCUUAAAACUAAUAAAGAGAAUAAUAAAACGUACUCUCCCCCAGGUGUUUCGAGUGUGAACGCUGGUCACCAAACUGGGUACGUCGCGCAAGCUGCCCGUGCAAGUGUUCUACAUUCUCCUCAACUCAAAAUUUCCCAUCCGUUAACCCUAUUGUUCCUGGUAGAGCGUGUUAGCAUUUUCAAAUUGGCUCCUUCUCAAACUAGCCAAUCUCGUCUUUUAAAAUGCUAGUUCUGACUGGAAACGUGGACGUGUUCUUAAAUAAACCAUUGUGGCCGCUUGGAUCCUUAAACGAGGA